rnacentral:hammerhead_ribozyme from 1 species
AUUCAGUCGACGAGUCCCAAGUGGGACGAAACGCGCAUCCUGGAU